AAAGAGAGAGCCACACGGGCCAAACGCUCAGAAAUCUGUAAAGGGUCCCCUUCGUUCACGGAAAAACGAGGCCCGCAUGUAAAGCGUAAGACCCCAAAAUGCCACACAAUGAGCCUUAGGACCCGAAUGGCUGCAGAGCCCCCACAGGCCUGGCAGAUACCUGAGUUCUGAGCAGCCAGAGGCGAGAGUCUAGGGCCAUCGGAGGAGACCCCACCCGGGCCCUGCUGUCGCAGGCCGGCUGGACGCGCUCUAGAGCCGAGGCUUGUCCAGAUGUGCGCCAGCAGAGCUCAAAAACGAGCCACCCAAAGAUCAAAGCAAACCACAGACAACGGAGCUGCAUUCCAGAACGAGCGGAACAUGAGAUUCAGAGAACAAGAAAGUAAAAACACAGUGUCCAGCAUCCGAGUCCCAUCAAAAAUCACUGCUCUGCCAAGAAGCAGGAAAAUACGACCGAGAAAAAAUACGUCGGGAGACGUAGACCCAGAAAUGACAGCAAGGACGGAAUCGCCAGACGAGGAAUCCCAGAACGGCCGUCACGACCUUUUCUUCGAGGAAAACACACCCGUGAUGAGAAAAACGGAAGACACAGAAAGGAGCGGGGAAGCUGCCGCCUGGGCGCCUCGGGGUGCUCGGCUGCCGUGACGAGACCUCGCGGGCGAGGCCGUUCAGACCCCAUGCCGUGGUCGCACGUUCUCCAGGCUGGACGUCCAAGGUCAAGGUGUCCGCAGGUCGGUUUCUCCUGAGACUCCUGCCCUUUGGCUUGCGACCUCCUCGCCGUGUCCUGGGCACACACAUGCCCGGUGUCUCUCGGCGUGUCCACGUGUCCGUUCUUAAUAGGGCUCCAGCCGGAAUGCAUUGCAUCUCUCCAUAGGACCUUACUUAACCUUCAUUACCUCUUUGAAGGCCUUAUCUCCAAAUACAGCCCCAUGGUGAGGUACUGGGGCUCAGGGCUGUAACAUAUGCACACGGCACUCUCGAGGUCAGCCCAUAACGGUGGGACUGACGACAGGUUAGCCGCUUCAAAGGGGAUAACAGUGAACUCGAAGCUACAGCGAUAAAAACUAUUCUAAAUGAGCUACAAAGAGCACAAAGCGGGGGGCAGGGAAUGAAGAGUCUCCGAGACCCCUGGGAAACACCAAGGUGUGUGAUACGAACGUAACUGGAGUGUCAUAAAAGAACAGAGAAAGACAAGAACGGAAAAAAUAGUCGAAGAAAUAAUAGGUGAAAUUUCUCUCAAUCUGAAAAAAAGCCGUACGCCCACAAAUCCAGGGAGAUCCACAGACCCCGAGAAGAACACACGGGAAGGACGUGCAGCCGGGAAAAGCACGACCUGAUGCCCGGGAAGCGGCACCGAGCCCACUUUUCAAUGGUGCGCACUUUGUGGACAUGGCAAGGAGGACAGUGGGAAACACCCACGAAACGCCGGAAGACACUUUCCACUUAGAAUUCUACGCACGACGAAACCGCCCCCCAAAAUGAAAAGCAGAAUAGAGACUGGGAACGAUGUCCGUUUCAUGACUGAAAACAAAAGCUUAGGUAACUCGCCAGCAGCAGACUCACACGGCAUGAAACGUUCGAGCCCUUUCUUCAGGCACAGGGCAGUGCGUGCCAGGCGACAACGCACCGCUGCUCGCAGGAAUACGGAGCGGGAGGAGACAGACAUGCACGGGUGACCGUGAGGCGUCUCUUUGUCCUUUUAAAAACUGAGUUUAGGAACAGGAGCGUGCUCAAGGCAAAGGUGUCUCGCGAUGUUUUACUGCAUGUGGAAAUGAAAUCGGACCAGAGCAGCAGAGUGAGUGGGGGAGGGCAGCACAGUGUAAAGCCGAAGAUUCUUUGACGUCGCGUAUCGAACGGGACCCAUCAUUUGGAGGUGGGUUGUGAUACGUGGAGAUGCAUAUGAUGAACUCUAUAGCAAGCAAAACAAAGAUGUACAUAGCUAAUAAACCCAUAGCGCGGAUAAAACACUAAAAAAGAAAAAAGACAGGAAAACGCGAACCAAGGAACAAAGAACAGCAAGUAAUUAGCAAGAUGAGAGACCCACAUCCGACCAUAUAGGAAACUACGUUAAAUGUGAAUGGUCUAAAUAUUCCAAUGCCACGCAGAGAUGGUUCUCUGGAUGCAAUACCAAAACCCAGCUGUAGGCUGCCUAGAAGAAACCCGCUUUACAUAUAAAACACAGGUAGGAUGGAGGUCAGAGGAUGGUGAUCGGAAAUGACCAGGUCCCAGAGACAUGGGAGCUACACAGGAAAGGAGCCCCCCAAAUCCACCGAGGCGUCUGGGGGAACCCCGAGCCCCCUCCCACCGAGCGGUGAAGACUGCGUGCUUUCUCUCGCCAUCAGGAGCAAGGAAGGGCUCCGGCCGCUGCCGCUUCCACCUGGGCCUCGGCCGCCGGAAAGGGCGGGAGAAGCCGCGGACCCGCAGAGACCCGGCCGGGAGGAAGCGGGCUCCUCCCCGGCAGACAGUGGUACCCCGCACGCGAAAGGCCCGCGAAAGGUCCGCGAGGGCCCUGUGCUCUCCCUUAGCGAGGCCGCAGGGCGCGCGGCCCACGUUUCUUCCAAUAAAGAUGGGAGUUUGAAAUUUAGAAAAGCGGAAACAGAACGAUUAGAGAUAAAUUUAACAAAAUGGGUGUGAGCUUUGUACGGACGCUGCCGACGGAGGCGAAGGGAGGCCGGACACACGACAGCGGCGGGAGCUCCCACCCCGGGGACCGCAUUCCCCUGAGACGACCACCCCGACAUCGAUCUCUAGGAUCAGCGGGAUCCCCCACAAAAAUCCAGCGGGCUCGUGCGUCGACAUCCGCAAGGUGAUUUUUUAAAUGUAUGUGAAACAGGCCUCAGAGCAUCCCGAAGGACCGUGAGAGCGAAGGACGCCACGCAGGGCCCGGCCUCGUGAGGCCAGGACACAGCCGGCGCCAGACGUGCCAACCGGUCGAGAACACGGAUGAGCGUCCGGAAACAGGCCCGGCCGCGUCGGGUCUGCGGAGUCUCGUCAGCGACGCCGAGGUGACUCCGUAGCGCGAACGUCAUCUUUCACAAAUAAUCGCCGGCAGGCGGCAUAGACGGGGGGCCCGCCACGUGCAAAACUGACUCGAAGGGACCGCAGGCCUCAACGUAAGAGCUAAAGCUUUCGGAAGAAAACGUAGGAGAAAUCUGUGGGACCCGACGCAAAGUUUUCCUCGACGGGACCCAAAACGUAGGGACCGUAAGGGACACAGGGAUGGAUGAGGAUGAUGUCAUCCGACCGGGCGUCUGCUUUCGAAGCGUGCUGGGGAUCUGAGAAGGCAAAAAACGGGAAAUGAAGAGACAAACCCGUGGGAGGAAAGUCACAGCAAAUAUAUCUCGUUCUGAAAGACACAUUUUAAAACUAUGGUUACUUAAUAUGAAGACAAACAACCCAUUUUCUAAAAAAAAAAAAAAAAA